UACGAAGGGGGCGAGCGUUGUUCGGAUUUACUGGGCGUAAAGGGCGCGCAGGCGGCUCAUUUUGUCAGGCGUGAAAGCCCCGGGCUUAACCUGGGAGGUGCGUUUGAUACGGAUGGGCUAGAGUUCGGGAGAGGAGAGUGGAAUUCCCAGUGUAGAGGUGAAAUUCGUAGAUAUUGGGAAGAACACCGGUGGCGAAGGCGGCUCUCUGGACCGAGACUGACGCUGAGGCGCGAAAGCUAGGGGAGCAAACAGG
rnacentral:rRNA from 1 species